GACGAACGCUGGCGGCGCGCCUUACACAUGCAAGUCGAACGAUCGAGGGGGAGCGUGCUUCCUCGAGCGAGUAGCGAACGGGUGAUUAACGCGUGCGUGACCGGUCGCGGGGAGGGGGGAAACAGUUGCAAACGUCAGCUAGUACCGCAUAUGCGGACGGAAGCACAGGGCACAGAGGGAAUACGAGCAAGCUGCGGUGAGAUGCCCUUGCGUCCGAUUGGGGAGUUGGUGAGGUAAUAGCCCACCAAGGGGACGAUAGGUAGCCGGAGAGAGAGGUUGAACGGCGACAUUGGGAGUGAGACGCGGCGCGGAAUUCUACGGGAGGCGGGAGUGCGGGAUAUAGCAAAAUGGGGGGAAGGAUGAUGGCGCGCCGGCGCGUAGAGGAAGAAGGUCGUCGCAUUGUAAACUCCUGUUGUAGGGGAAGAUAAUGACGGUACCCAAAAAGUAAGCGCCGGCUAACUACGUG
rnacentral:rRNA from 1 species